rnacentral:rRNA from 1 species
UAAUACGGAGGGUGCGAGCGUUAAUCGGAAUUACUGGGCGUAAAGCGUACGUAGGUGGCUUGAUAAGUCGGAUGUGAAAGCCCUGGGCUCAACCUGGGAACUGCAUUCGAUACUGUCUGGCUAGAGUAUAGUAGAGGGAAGUGGAAUUCCGGGUGUAGCGGUGAAAUGCGUAGAUAUCCGGAGGAACACCAGUGGCGAAGGCGGCUUCCUGGACUAAUACUGACACUGAGGUACGAAAGCGUGGGGAGCAAACAGGAUUAGAUACCCUGGUAGUCCACGCCCUAAACGAUGUCAACUAGCCGUUGGAGGAAUUUAAUCCUUUAGUAGCGCAGCUAACGCGAUAAGUUGACCGCCUGGGGAGUACGGUCGCAAGAUUA